ensembl:lncRNA
GUUUGUGCCUUUCAAAGAGCUCCCAUAGAGCUCUGGGUUUGAUGCCUUUUUCGUUUAGGGUGAUUUGGAUUCAUACUUGCCACCUUCCUGACUAGCAGUGCAGCUCCUGGCUGGGGUUUGGUCAUCUGUGGACUGCUGCAGAAAGGAAGCAUCCCUUUGAGACCUGCGUUCCCCUACUUAUGUCUGGAAUACUUGGCAUGUGUGUGUGCCUACGUCUGAAACGGGAAUUCCAGAUACUUCUUGACUUAAGGGCGGAUAAAGCCCUGCCUCUUAUAUCCCAGUGCCUUAGGAAAGGAUCCACCCCGUCCCCCCCGGACCUGAAGCCCGUAGAGGAGCAGGUGCCCCUCUGAUGUGCUCCAGAUCCCCUCCCUUGGCUUCAUCUGAACACAAGAAGGUACUGUUACUCACAUUCCUGGUUCCCAGCCAACCACAGGAGUUAUCUUCUCACUGUUCCAAAGGCAGCCCUGGCUGUAGGUCUGAUGCAAUCCCCCACCCCUGUGCGGAACAAGUGUCCCUGAGUGUGAAGGGGAGCUGGAAGGAGCUUGGGCUCAGCCAGCCAGCAGUGCUGUGUGCCUGUUUCACACAGCAAGCACCCUUUGGCUCAACUCUCCCAUCUCCACCGCACUCCUCCUUGGCUCCAAGUUAGGCGUUGGAUUCUACAUAUGGUUACUGGAGAGGAAAGAGUGUUUUCCAGAUGAACAGUGAUGCAGGAGGAUAGGGAUGAGUGACAGAAAUAUUAGAAAGCCACUUCUUGGAGCUUCUCUUCUUUCCCUUUUCCCUUAUGCUUCCCCAGGGGUGUUGUGCCCCUCCCCAAGGGCAGCAGGCUGCAGGAUCCUGAGCCUUCUUUGUUGUCAUGGGUGCUUGUUGGUGUGGCUGCUGGGUGUAAGGAGUCGGCUGCUUCAGCCACGUUCUUUGGCUGCUUUGGCUUAAAAUAAACGGGAAUGGAGUGCUCUGCUUCUGAGUUCAUACAGAACUACUGCAGCCCAGGAGAUGAAAUCCAUCUUUUGUUUGUGAAAAAUACCAAGUGGAGGUCAAGAUAAGUCCCUUUCCACACCUUUCCUCAUUAUUUUUUUGCGUGUUGCUUAAAUGAGUAACUGGAAAAAUAACGAAGAAUCUCUUGUUGGUUUUUUCUUUUUUAUUUAUUUUUUUUUUUAACAAAGAAAAAGCUUUGGGUACUCUGAGAUCCUUAAUUAGGGAAAAAAACAUUGACCAAAUUGUAGAAGAAGGAGAAAGCAUUCAAUAUUCCUCAUAUAUCCAUAAGCCCUUUGUUCUGCUAGAGUAAGGACCUUGGAAUAGAAAUAAAUCUAUCAAGUAUCUCAAUCUGUGAUGAAUCAAAACUAACACGAGGAGUGAUUUGAAUUCUGAACUACUUAAUAGCAUUUAGUAAGAGGAGCAUUGUAACAACAGAAAGUGUUUUAAUCAUCCUUGAUGUCUUGGAAAUCUUUCACUUAUUGUAACUAUAUGGGUGUGAGCAAUCUCUCUAAAAACACACUGAGCCAUUCUCGUGGGACUGAAGUUAGUUGGUCUCACUGAAUUUAAUGGGACAAAUGCUGUGAGCGAAACUAUUCAUAUGGGUGUCUACGGAGUAAUGGUGCUGACCUUGCAAAGAUCAGCUGAAGAAUUAAAUGCUUUUCAAGGCUGCUG